rnacentral:rRNA from 1 species
AGUGAACGCUGGCGGUAGGCCUAACACAUGCAAGUCGAACGGCAGCACAGUAAGAGCUUGCUCUUACGGGUGGCGAGUGGCGGACGGGUGAGGAAUACAUCGGAAUCUACUUUUUCGUGGGGGAUAACGUAGGGAAACUUACGCUAAUACCGCAUACGACCUACGGGUGAAAGCAGGGGAUCUUCGGACCUUGCGCGAUUGAAUGAGCCGAUGUCGGAUUAGCUAGUUGGCGGGGUAAAGGCCCACCAAGGCGACGAUCCGUAGCUGGUCUGAGAGGAUGAUCAGCCACACUGGAACUGAGACACGGUCCAGACUCCUACGGGAGGCAGCAGUGGGGAAUAUUGGACAAUGGGCGCAAGCCUGAUCCAGCCAUGCCGCGUGGGUGAAGAAGGCCUUCGGGUUGUAAAGCCCUUUUAUUGGGAAAGAAAAGCAGCAGGUUAAUACCCCGCUGUUCUGACGGUACCCAAAGAAUAAGCACCGGCUAACUUCGUG